GACGGUCUUGGGGAUGCCAUGAACUCAACUUGAUAGAGAAGGUGAUAGGAAAUAGUGGUGAAGAAAAUGCAAGGAAAUAACACUUUAUUUAUAGGAAAAGAUCUGGGUUGUACACCAGUCUACUUAACCCUAAUUAGUGUCGCACUUGAUUACUUAAUCUUAUAGGGAAUUAGGGUUUCAAUUAGGUCAUAACUACCAAACUCUAAUUAUAACCGAUCAAUAAACCCUAAUUAUAAUUGAUAAAUUAACCUUAACAUGAUUAACCCUAAUUCUUCCAAAAAAUUUUAAAU
rnacentral:lncRNA from 1 species